UACGGGGGGGGCAAGCGUUGUUCGGAAUUACUGGGCGUAAAGGGCUCGUAGGCGGCCAACUAAGUCAGACGUGAAAUCCCUCGGCUUAACCGGGGAACUGCAUCUGAUACUGGAUGGCUUGAGUUCGGGAGAGGGAUGUGGAAUUCCAGGUGUAGCGGUGAAAUGCGUAGAUAUCUGGAGGAACACCGGUGGCGAAGGCGGCAUCCUGGACCGGCAUUGACGCUGAGGCGCGAAAGCCAGGGGAGCAAACGGG
rnacentral:rRNA from 1 species